UACGAAGGGGGCUAGCGUUGCUCGGAAUCACUGGGCGUCAAGCGCACGUAGGCGGAUUGUUAAGUCAGGGGUGAAAUCCUGGAGCUCAACUCCAGAACUGCCUUUGAUACUGGCGAUCUCGAGUCCGGGAGAGGUGAGUGGAACUGCGAGUGUAGAGGUGAAAUUCGUAGAUAUUCGCAAGAACACCAGUGGCGAAGGCGGCUCACUGGCCCGGUACUGACGCUGAGGUGCGAAAGCUAGGGGAGCAAACGGG
rnacentral:rRNA from 1 species